GACGUAGGGGGCGAGCGUUGUUCGGAUUUACUGGGCGUAAAGCGCGCGUAGGCGGCUAGAUAAGUCGGGUGUGAAAUCCCUCGGCUUAACCGAGGACCCGCAUCCGAUACUGCCUGGCUCGAGUCUAAAAAAGGAAAGCGGAAUUCCCAGUGUAACGGUGAAAUGCGUAGAUAUUAGGAGGAACACCGGUGGCGAAGGCGGCUUUCCGGACUAGCACUGACGCUGAGGCGCGAAAGCUAGGGGAGCGAACGGG
rnacentral:rRNA from 1 species